AGAGUUUGAUCCUGGCUCAGAUUGAACGCUGGCGGCAGGCCUAACACAUGCAAGUCGAGCGCUAGAGAGAAGCUUGCUUCUCUUGAGAGCGGCGGACGGGUGAGUAAUGCCUAGGAAUCUGCCUGGUAGUGGGGGAUAACGUUCGGAAACGAACGCUAAUACCGCAUACGUCCUACGGGAGAAAGCAGGGGACCUUCGGGCCUUGCGCUAUCAGAUGAGCCUAGGUCGGAUUAGCUAGUUGGUGAGGUAAUGGCUCACCAAGGCGACGAUCCGUAACUGGUCUGAGAGGAUGAUCAGUCACACUGGAACUGAGACACGGUCCAGACUCCUACGGGAGGCAGCAGUGGGGAAUAUUGGACAAUGGGCGAAAGCCUGAUCCAGCCAUGCCGCGUGUGUGAAGAAGGUCUUCGGAUUGUAAAGCACUUUAAGUUGGGAGGAAGGGCAUUAACCUAAUACGUUAGUGUUUUGACGUUACCGACAGAAUAAGCACCGGCUAACUCUGUGCCAGCAGCCGCGGUAAUAC
rnacentral:rRNA from 1 species